GAUGAAGAACGUAGCGAAAUGCGAUAAGUAAUGUGAAUUGCAGAAUUCAGUGAAUCAUCGAAUCUUUGAACGCACAUUGCGCCCGCCAGUAUUCUGGCGGGCAUGCCUGUUCGAGCGUCAUUACAACCCUCAGGCCCCCGGGCCUGGCGUUGGGGAUCGGCGGAGCCCCCCGUGGGCACACGCCGUCCCCCAAAUACAGUGGCGGUCCCGCCGCAGCUUCCAUCGCGUAGUAGCUAACACCUCGCGACUGGAGAGCGGCGCGGCCACGCCGUAAAACACCCAACUCUUCUGAAGUUGACGUCGAAUCAGGUAGGAAUACCCGCUGAACUUAAGCAUAUCAAUAAGCGGAGGA
rnacentral:misc_RNA from 1 species